CAGCCCUAAACGAUGCGCGUUAGGUGUAUCGGUGACCACGAGUCACCGAGGUGCCGAAGGGAAACCGUGAAACGUGCCGCCUGGGAAGUACGGUCGCAAGGCUGAAACUUAAAGGAAUUGGCCGGGGGAGCACCACAACGGGUGGAGCCUGCGGUUUAAUUGGACUCAACGCCGGGAAGCUCACCGGAUAAGACAGCGGAAUGAUUGCCGGGCUGAAGACCCUGCAUGACCAGCUGAGAGGAGGUGCAUGGCGUAGGCGUGU
rnacentral:rRNA from 1 species